UACGGAGGGUGCAAGCGUUAAUCGGAAUUACUGGGCGUAAAGCGCACGCAGGUGCUGAGUCAGUCGAUUGUGAAAGCCCUGGGCUUAACCUGGGAAUUGCAGUCGAUACUACUUAGCUAGAGUAUGGGAGAGGGCAGUGGAAUUCCCGGUGUAGCGGUGAAAUGCGUAGAUAUCGGGAGGAGCAUCAGUGGCGAAGGCGGCUGCCUGGCCCAAUACUGACACUCAGGUGCGACAGCGUGGGGAGCAAACAGG
rnacentral:rRNA from 1 species